AGUGAACGCUGGCGGUAGGCCUAACACAUGCAAGUCGAACGGCAGCACAGGAGAGCUUGCUCUCUGGGUGGCGAGUGGCGGACGGGUGAGGAAUACAUCGGAAUCUGCCCAGUCGUGGGGGAUAACGUAGGGAAACUUACGCUAAUACCGCAUACGACCUUCGGGUGAAAGAGGGGGAUCGCAAGACCUCUCGCGAUUGGAUGAGCCGAUGUCGGAUUAGCUAGUUGGCGGGGUAAUGGCCCACCAAGGCGACGAUCCGUAGCUGGUCUGAGAGGAUGAUCAGCCACACUGGAACUGAGACACGGUCCAGACUCCUACGGGAGGCAGCAGUGGGGAAUAUUGGACAAUGGGCGAAAGCCUGAUCCAGCAAUACCGCGUGGGUGAAGAAGGCCUUCGGGUUGUAAAGCCCUUUUGUUGGGAAAGAAAUCUUUCAGGCUAAUACCCUGGGAGGAUGACGGUACCCAAAGAAUAAGCACCGGCUAACUUCGUG
rnacentral:rRNA from 1 species